AUUGAACGCUGGCGGCAGGCCUAACACAUGCAAGUCGACCGGUUGAAGGCACCUUUCUCCUGUUUUCAGCGUCGGACGGGUGUGUAUUUCCUAUGUAUCUGCCUGGUUUUUGUUUAUAACGUCCGUUAACGGGCGCUUAUACCCCUUACGUCCUGCUUCUGACAGUUGGGGUUCUUCGGACCUCCCCCUUUCAUAUGUGCCUAGUUCGGAUUAGCUAGUUGGUGGGGUAAAGGCCUACCAAGGCGACGAUCCGUAACUGGUCUGAGAGGAUGAUCAGUCACACUGGAACUGAGACACGGACAAGAGUACUACGGGAGGGAGCAGUGGGGAAUAUUGGACAAUGGGCGAAAGGCUGAUACAGGAAUGCGGCGUGUGAGAAGAAGGUCUUCGGAGUGGAAAGCACUUUAAGUGGGGAGGAAGGGAAGUAAGUUAAAACCUUGAUGUUUUGACGUUACCAACAGAAUAAGCACCGGCUAACUUCGUG
rnacentral:rRNA from 1 species